rnacentral:rRNA from 1 species
AUUGAACGCUGGCGGCAGGCUUAACACAUGCAAGUCGAACGAGUGGCGGACGGGUGCGUAAUGCUUGGGAAUCUAGCUUAUGGAGGGGGAUAACUACGGGCAACUGUAGCUAAUACCGCUUACCAUAGGAUGAGCCCAUGUGGGAUUAGGUAGUUGGUGAGGUAAAGGCUCACCAAGUCGACGAGCCCUAGCUGGUCUGAGAGGAUGACCAGCCACACUGGAACUGAGACACGGCCCAGACUCCUACGGGAGGCAGCAGUGGGGAAUAUUGCGCAAUGGGGGCAACCUGACGCAGCCAUGCCGCGUGUAUGAAGAAGGCCUUCGGGUUGUAAAGUUCUUUCGGUAGGGAGGCGUUAACUACAGAAGAAGCACCGACUAACUCCGUGCCAGCAGCCGCGGUAAUUC